UUGCUCACUUUGGCAGCACAUUUACUAAAACUGGAACGAUUCAGAGAAGAUUAGCAUGGCCCCUGUGCAACAAUGACAUGCAAAUCUGUGAAGCAUUCCAUAUUGAA